rnacentral:lncRNA from 1 species
AAGGGCCACACCUGUGGCUUAUGGAAGUUCCCAGGUUAGGGAUUGAAUCAGAUCUGUAGCCACCAGCCUACACCACAGCCACAGCAAUACGGGAUCUAAGCCAUGUCUGCUACCUACACCAUAGCUCAUGGCAAUGCUGGAUACUUGAUCCAUUGAGUGAGGCCAGGGAUUGAACCCGUAUCCUCAUGGGUACUAGUCAGAUUCAUUUCUGCUGUGCCAUAAGGGGAACUCCCAUAAUAUUAAUUAUGUGAGUUGAACAAACACAAACACAACAAUAGGAUUAAAGAUAUACUAGAUGUUGAAUGUAUCUCUUCAUAUCUUGGAGCCCUAAUCUCCCAGGUAAUGAUAUUUGGAGAUGGGAGUUUUGGGAGGUGAAUAGGUUAGGGUGUUACCUGCUUAAUAGAACAUACUUUCAAUUUGUACAAUUGUUCAUUAAUUUGGUUACCAUCCAUGCCACCAUUAUAAUCUAACCUUAAAAAAGACAUGGAUUAGAUCUUCUUUUCCUACUGAAUUGGAAUGAUUGAAAUAUUCAACUACCUAAAUAAAAGGUAAAAGCAUAAGCUAUGUCUAAAGUAGAGACAUUACUAAGUGUGUAGACUUUAUAUACCCAGAGAAUUUUAUUCAGGAAAAUAGUUAGAUUUUUACCUGAGAUAUAUGUCACAUGAAUGUACACUUUAUUCACUUCAUUAUUUUUCCUCCCAAAUUCCUUUCAAACAUGAAUUCAUGAUAUGUCCCCAAUUCUGGGGGAGAUUUUUGUUGUGGCCACAUAAAGCAGAAAUUCCUAGCAUUUCUGGCUAUUGUUUUCCACAAUAUUGAAGGUCUUAUAUAAAGAGGAACAGGUUAUAGAAAGAGAGAGGAUCAGAGGAACAAUAAAAUAAUAUAUGGAGUUGGGGAAAGGUGGAAUUUGACUUCCCAAAGAAUGCAAACAAGAAGGAGGUGGCCAGGUGCCCGGAGCAUCAGAAUCAAGUUGUGGACCUAUGUCCUUCUCUCAAACAGCUAAAAAAGAAUGUGACAGCUUAUGGCUGCAUGAUGCUCUUACAGAAGCUAAUUCUAAGUAUAGGGCUUCCAGACUAAAAAAAAGCUCUGCCAUCAAAUUCAAAAGACCACAUGGCAUUGUCAAAUAGGCUAUCGUCAGUCACUACAAUGGACUGAAUAACUAAAACCCUUCUUCCAUUUUCCUUACUUAAGGGAACAGGUGUCAACAAAAAGAAGGACGGUGCUUAAAACCAACUAUAAUGGAAAAAAAAUAAAAAUCAUUAUACCAAAAAAAAAUUUCAGGUGUCUGAGAACUCAAAAAAAAAAAAAAAAAAAAGCUGACUGUUGCAUCACAGAACCAUUCAGUUUUGUCAAAAUGCAAAUUUCUGGGAUCCACUGCUGACCAUCUAGCAUAGAACCAUUGAGGCUAUAACUCUAAAUUACAUGUUUUUUAAACAUUUCAUUUGCACAUGCUGAACUUUAAAAAUUAUUGAGAGAAGGAGAAGUUCGAUUGCUACAAGGGAGAGAGCUGGAGACUGACGAUAUUCGUGGUUUCAAAGAGAUCUUCAGGAUUCAGAUCCACCUCAAAGGUCAAAUACUGACAAAGAGAAGCACAAGCCUAGAAUAAAUCACAGCCAGAGACAUCAGGUGGUCAAAGGGCCAGACCAGAGAAAGAAACUUGGAAGAAAUAACUACCCAAGGACAAGGCAAGCCAGCUGCUCAAAAGACUACACAGAAUCCAGAAACCAAUUCAUUUUUAUGUAAGAAACAAAGUCAUCAAAGAAGCAGGAUCAGACAAUAGCAACAUGAGUUGUAGAUUUUGCAGUAACUAUGGAUUCCAACUGCUCAGCCUCUUCCAAACUUUUCCUGGUUCAUAGACGCUCCUCCCAGUACUUGGUCAGCCUGAGCAAAUAAAAGGGAAUGUGGGACUAGUGUUGAGGUAUGACAUUGUGAAAAAAGAGAAGUCUGACUCUCAGCUAAAGUCCAGUUGGCUUUUCAAAAUAAGGGGGUUUUUGGUUAUUGUUGGUGUUGGUUUGCCUGCUUGUUUUUGGUGAGGAAUGCUCUAGUCUGUUUAAUUAUAUUUAAGCUUAUUUUUGCCAAAAUAUCAAACACAGCUUGCCAUAGAGAGUACAAUAUUUAGGACAAACCAGGAAAGUAAUUGGAAUUGAUUUCAUUACAUGAAGAGGAAAAAUUUAAUAUGGCAGCAUGCUAUUAUUGAGAAAUAAAGACAGGAAAAUAAGUGCUGUAAGUGUUUGUUUUCUAUUCAUUUGGCAAGGCACUUUUUUAAGUUGAUAUACCAUUUUUAGAUGAUUGUUUAUUCAGUUAUUCUACUUCAAGUUAACAAGGGAAACCUACUAUAUUUGACAUGAGCUUUGAUUUGUAGCUAUAACUGAGGGAAAAAUAAAAAUGUGAACAACAGAUACAUAGAAGCAAUUUAUUCAUACUGUCUUUCAGUUGACACUUUAAAAUUCCUAGCUAGUUAUAUGUUCUAGCAUGAGAUGAGGAGAUGUCAUUAAAAGAGAAAGGAAGAAUAAACAUUUUGGCAAAAAAAAAAAAAAAAAAAAAAAGAAUGGUCAGUAACUGUAAUAUCUAUGAACUAGUGCCUGAGAAAACUCCAAAGUGGAUAAUUGGUUCAUUCUUGAACUAUCAUUUUUUCCACACUUAUUUGAUUCUUCUUUAAACUCACAUUAGCUUACAUUCAUUCAUCUCAACUGUUUUUACAUUUGUUUAAUUGGUUUACAUUUAAAGAUGGAUUCUCUUAUAAUCAGUUGAAAGGUUUCAACUAAAACAUGCUCUCCAGGAGUAGUGGCGCCCAGAUUGCUCUGAUGGGGUAUCAGAAUCAAUUGAUAUGUUCAUAUGGGGAUAUCAGAAUGUCCCUUUUCUUUUCCUUCUUUGACUCUUCAAACUGUCGGACACCCUGGUUUGGGAGGAAGUCAGCAAAACUAGUUUUCAGAGGUUGGUAAGAGUUUCUCAGGGAACACUCUAAGUAUCCCAUUUUUCAAGAGGGAUUACAGUUUAAUAUGCUCACUCUGAAUAUCUUUUCUUAUUACCUAAUUGGUUGAAGUUAUUAAAAACUUCUCAGCGAGUUGAGUUUCAAUUCACACCUUGUAAAAAAGGCUAAAAUAUGCACACAGAAGACUUUUGCAACAGAACAAGCAGUGUUGCUCUUUAGAGUGACUCAUUAUAACACAAAAAGUAGGGCCUAAAGCUAGACUAUGAGAUUUAACACUCACCUCUGUGGAAUAGGUGAAGUGCAACAUUUAACAUCAAUCUUUAUUUUUCAGUUAAUACCGCUCAUUAUGGACCAGAUGGCUUGACUGUUCUGCCAUUUUCUGCAUUUUUUUUUAAAGACUAGAGAUGUUUCUCUUUUUUAAAAAAGUAAAAUGUCAUAAUAGUAGGGUGAGUGGUUUCAAGAGAGAUGCUGAGAGUCAUUUUGGAUUCAUUUAAAAAUGGGUUCUAAAACACAAGUGAAAUAUUUCAGUAGUGAAGUGUUUUAAAGAGACAUUUAAACACUCACCUGUAAUUUCCUUACAUCUAUCAUAAUUACUUCAGGUGUAGGGUUGUGAGUAUUUUCCUGCAUUUCAACUGGAGAUACUGGGAAGAGCUAUUUGAUUCAUGAAUUGCUCAAAUCAAAUCUCCAAAGUCUGUAAAUAGAGGUCUACUGGCUAUUCCUCUAUGCUCUUAAUGCAGUUUCUUGAAUGACUGAGCCCCCAAAUAAGGUUUUAUGUGCAUUGAUGCCUAUGUGACAACAACUAGUAAUUUUCAAGUUAAAAAAGCACUCAUAGUUGAACAUUACAUAAAUAUAGCUUUACUAAUGAUUACCAAAUAUAAAACAUGACAUUCUCAAAAAUGUCCAAAGGGGUCAUACACUAAGCUUCUGUUUAUAUAUUGGAAGUAAAGACAUCCAAACAUCACUACUUACCUUCAUGUCUUUUCUUUCUGCCCUGUAGGCACCAUCUACUGAGCAACUUGAGUGAAGUUUUAAGCUUUCUGUAUCUAAGGUGCUUUUUGUACUUAUUCAUGCUCUAGUAUUACAUAAGUCUAUGUUGACCAUAGUUUAACAGUUUGAUGUGCUAUCUUUAAUUUCUACUGCCAUCAUUGAAAUAAGAGAUAUUAAUUAGAAGUUCAAGUAUAUCUAAUGGAAAAGCAAAAUGACCUUGAAGAUGAAUAGUCAGUCAAGCAUAUGGGCUUCUACAGCAGUUUAAUCAAAAGAUCUUUUGAUGAUAAAAUUUUAAGUAUUUUUCUGAAGUCUUUAGCUCAGUCUGUUGACAUAACAGCAAGCCUAACUUUAAAACAUCAAAACAUUUACUGAGAAACAAGAAAGUCACUAUUCCACCCAGACGCAGCAUGUCAAAUGUUCUACAGGCAGCGACAGAGGGUUUUUUUUGGAGGCAGAGACACAGCGUGGUAAGUGGUUUUGUAGUUUAAAGGGGAAAGAUCUCUGGCAAUUAGUUUUAUUCUGUUCUGCUAUUUCUUACUUUUUACCAUUUUAGCUGAUAUUUGUACAAAAUAAAGUAAGUUUAUUCUACAAAAAAAUAUAGUAAGGACUGACAUGAACUUUUUUCCUACCAAAAUCAGCUACGAGUACCAAUAACAUUCAUUAAAUUUCCUUGUUAGUCCUUGUGCCCUAGUUAGAAAAUUAUGUCUAACUCCUACUAGAGUACUCAAUAAAUAUUUAUUAAAUACGUACUUUCUUUAGGGAUUUUUUAUAUAAACUUUUCAUACCAUUUUAAUCCAUGUAAUAUUCUCUCUUCUGAAUAUUUAUAGAACUCAAGCUUCUAAAUCUUACUCUAAAACAAAGACUUUUCCAGAAAAGUUCCUGUCUCCUGCUAGGAUUUUCUUCUUUCUUUCUAUUACCUAUAUACCUUACCCUUCAGGUAAAUAUAUUCCCCAAGGUUAAAUUUUUCUCAUGCCCUACAAAUAAUGGCUCAAUAUAUUUCCACUGCAAAUACUCUAACUCCAAGUACUUAACUCUAGGUGCCUAGAUUCUCAAAGCAUAAAUUCAGAUUCCAACACUAAUCUUGAAUUUCACUUUGGAAGAUUCAGCAGGGAGCCAUUAAUUUCCCUCAUGAUGUUCAAGGCAUACAGUCACAGGCAUAUUAAAAUGUGGAAGCACAUAAUCUGCAUAUAAACAAACUGAAAAUAAUUGGCACUCAUCAAUUGAAGUUAUCUUCUGCAAAUUAAUUCCUUUACCCAAUUUAACAUGAAUCAUUAAAUUACAUAAUCAGUUUCCAUUGUGCUGUUAUUAGUUAUAAAUAUUUACACUUACAAAUAAUAUUUUUAUCAUGAAAUAUAUUUUUGAAGAUCAAAUAAAACAUCUGUGUGUGUGUGUGUGUGUGCGUGUGUGGUGUGCAUGUGUGUGUAAAAAGGGGGAGAUGUUGCAAGACAUGUUUCCUUGAAAACAUCUUAUCCCAUCUUCUUGUCUUAUUUUAUCCCAUCUUCCUUCUUGGAGAAACAGUCACAGUGCUGGUAAAUGACUUAAGUUUAAGAGCAAAGACCUAAAGGCAUAAGUGACUUAAGCUUAAGAAAUGUUAUGUGCCUAGAGGUCAGAGUAAGAGCUUAACCCUUUACCACCUAAGUGCCUUUCUAAAUAGUAAAAGAACUUAUAUAAUAGUAAAAAAAACCCUGUAUUAUCCACCCAUAGCCACUCCUCACUUGAUCUCAUCUGAAGAGCACAAUAAAAGCAGUGUGGAUUCUGGAGGCAGCUUUCUCUUGGUCCCUGAGACCUUGAGUCCCCCAGUGACCUUGAGUUCUCCAGUUCCCACCUUUACUUAAGAUAAAUGUCUCUGUGUCUUGUUUUAUGUUAACUAUUUUUCCUUAAGUUCCACAGCACCCGUUCUUCA